ensembl:lncRNA
GAAGAGACUCGGUACACAUACAGUCUAAUCUCUGAAUAACACGGUCACAUAUUGAACCAAAUAAAUGAGUACAAUUAGAGUACAACAUGGAAAGAUGUUCUUUAUUUAUUGUACUCCGUAGAUUUGCUAAUGUAUGCUUACAACUAUUUGCCGUUGAAUUUCAAAAGUAAGACAAACAUUAAAAAAACGGUCGCACCAAGUAAGAAAUCCACAUGAGAACAAAGAUAAAUGCUGUCCUUAUUUACACAAUAAUGAUACAAUAAUACAUCGGCUCCACUAUACUAGAGAAAUGCUCAAUAAACAAUACACGCCGUUCUUUUCUUUAUAAUAAUUCAUGAACACAAUUUCAAAAACCUGUUUAUCGGGUCAUUCCCCCAAAACAUGUCGUCCUCAAUAUAGUCGGGGGAAAAGAAUUGGAGGAAGCCUUUUCAGAGCCAUCGCUAGAUUACCAUUGGCUCCUUCACACUGAAACGGAACACUCAGUGAGAGAGGUAGGUGGGGACUAACAGGCAGUAGCAGUCGCCUCUUCUUGGCAUAACACCCCACACUGUCGAGUGACCGUCUCGAUGAAUCAGUCCGAUAAACGACUCCAUUCAUACAAAGGAGACUCAGUGAAUCAGUGACAACAUUGGUUCGAUAUACAGUACGUGAUGACAGAUUUAUUACUAAGCUAUAGCUGGUCUUUCUGGCUCUGGCUCUGGACCAGGGUUAGGCGGCCGAGGAAGGGACCACCACCGAAGGGUGUACACCUCAGUGUUCGCACAGCGUGAAUCCUGUUAUCUGAGAAGCACCUUAUUGAGGCAGCAAAAUCCACCAGCCAGACUGCUGUUUGUUUGGUUGUGUGUUUGUUGUAUUGGGAAGAAAUGGGUGGAAUGGGUCAGGGGGAAGAAAAUGCUUUGAGGGGAUUUAGAGAGAGAAAAGCAUCUUAGUAUUGAGGUCCAGGCAACCUGUUGUCUGACUAAGAGGGGAGUCUAAGACACAAACAGGGCCUCGCACGAACACGAACACACACACACACACACACACACACACACACACACACACACACACACACACACACACACACACACACACACACACACACACACACACACACACACAACAUUAAACCGAUUGUGCCCAGAGAAUCUGCGGUAUCGGCAAUGCUGGCCCAGCCCGACAGACACAAGUGAACAGAAACAAACCAACACAUUAAGGCUCUUCUGUGUCACUGAUCAUUACUCCCCCCAUCCCCGACCCCAGCCCAAUCCCAAACCAGACACACGCACGCACGCACGCACGCACGCACGCACGCACGCACGCACGCACGCACGCACGCACGCACGCACGCACGCACGCACGCACGCACGCACGCACGCACGCACGCACGCACGCACGCACGCACGCACGCACGCACGCACGCACGCACGCACGCACGCACGCACGCACGCACGCACGCACGCACGCGCGCGCACGCACGCACGCACGCACGCACGCACGCACGCACGCACGCACGCACGCACGCACGCACGCACGCACGCACGCACGCACGCACGCACGCACGCACGCACGCACGCACGCACGCACGCACGCACACACACACACACACACACACACACACACACACACACACACACACACACACACACACACACACACACACCACGGUUGAAAGCACUUGGAAGGGACUUGCCCCUAAUUUAAUUUGUUGUGCUGCAGCUGAACCCAGAAUCGCCCGGGACAACCCAUUGAAACACCAGCAGCAUUGCAUGGUGCGUUGGUAAUCAAAUGGACCAGAACCAGCGGAGCGUGCACAUAUGGUUGUUUGUGGGUUUUUUUUUUUUGGAUGCAGAUGUGUCCAACAGGGACACGGUAACCCUCUGUGAUUGGCUGGGGACAGACUAGCAUGAUGAGACGCUGUGGCGUUGGUAGAGGAUGACAAUCGCUGUGUUUUUAUGCCAAGUGUUUGUGUCUGUGCAUGCAGGUGCAUGUGUGUGUUUGGGUGUGUAUGUGUGUGUGUGUGUGUGUGUGUGUGUGUGUGUGUGUGUGUGUGUGUGUGUGUGUGUGUGUGUGUGCAAGUUGGCACCUCUCUGUGUAUUUUCAUUCGAUUUAAUUCUAUGUUGAAAAAUUAUCUUUGUCAUGGGUCAAUAAAAUAUUAUCAUUUUUUUUUAACAAAAGUACAAACCAGUUCCAAACCAGUAUCAAACAGGUACAACAGGAUUCUGUUCACAUUUCAAUGGAACAGAAUCCAUCCAAGACUCUCAUCCAGGCUUGGCCGUCUUCCUGAACCUGAUCAGGA